rnacentral:rRNA from 1 species
GUCGAGAAUCUUUCACAAUGGGGGCAACCCUGAUGGAGCGACGCCGCGUGGAGGAUAAGGUCUUCGGAUUGUAAACUCCUGUCAUGCGUGAACAAGGUUGCUUGGUUAAUACCUGGGCAAAUUGAUGGUAACGCAAGAGGAAGAGACGGCUAACUCUGUGCCAGCAGCCGCGGUAAUACAGAGGUCUCAAGCGUUGUUCGGAAUCACUGGGCGUAAAGGGUGCGUAGGUGGCGUGGUAAGUCAGAUGUGAAAGCCCGGGGCUCAACCUCGGAACGGCAUCCGAUACUGCCAUGCUAGAGUACUGGAGAGGUGACUAGAAUUCUCGGUGUAGCAGUGAAAUGCGUAGAUAUCGAGAGGAAUACCAAAGGCGUAGGCAGGUCACUGGACAGUUACUGACACUGAGGCACGAAGGCCAGGGGAGCGAACGGGAUUAGAAACCCGGGUAGUCC